rnacentral:rRNA from 1 species
UACGUAGGGGGCAAGCGUUGUCCGGAAUCAUUGGGCGUAAAGCGCGUGUAGGCGGCUCGGUAAGUCUGCUGUGAAAGUCCAGGGCUCAACCCUGGGAUGCCGGUGGAUACUGUCGAGCUCGAGUCCGGAAGAGGCGAGUGGAAUUCCUGGUGUAGCGGUGAAAUGCGCAGAUAUCAGGUGGAACACCAAUGGCGAAGGCAGCUCGCUGGGACGUGACUGACGCUGAGACGCGAAAGCGUGGGGAGCAAACAGG